AGACAGAUGAGCCAGCAAUACAGUAGUUACAUGUGUCUGGGAUUUGUUUUUUAAAUUAUAUGUACCGCUUUUAAUAGCCUGAUUACAGCUGUUCAGUAAGUGAUGCCUCUAGACUGAAGAGGACCGAAAUGAGAAGCAGGCCAGCUAAGAGGGCUGGGAGCAGCACGUUCCCCUUGUUAUUGCCAGCUAGUGGGGAGAGAACAUAUGGCCACUUUACAAAGGUUAAGAAUCACAAACAGCAGACAAGAAUGAAUGAUUAAUGCUGGAGUUCCUGGAGUAUGGGCCAAAGAAGUUCCCCCAAAGCCUUACAAACAGAAACACAUGCCUCUGCCAGUCCCCACAUGGGAUCCCAGAUGAGAAACCUCUCAAGGAGAAUAACAAAAUGCAGUUGGAAUCAAAGUGUAUGAAGCCUCCCAGACACACCCAGCAGGAGUCACCAGGAAGCAGCUGGGAAGAGGCUGACAGCCCACCAGCAAUGAGACCACAGGAGCUGCUGCUCCCGGGAGGGAGUCUGCUGUCAUCCUCCACUUGCUAGAGUUCUCCCUCCUCUCUGCUUGUUACACACUGCUUCCCUGCUCUAGAGCUUGCUCCAGAGAUGACUUCAACAGAACAGAGUGGCUCUUCCUUACUUGAAACACAGAUCCAUUGUACCUGUGGCUUUGGCUCUGGAUUGUCUUUCUACUUAGAGGAGAACAAGGGUGUGACUGAGCCACAUGAUGGAAAGUAAAGGUACAACCAAAAAUUGUGGCGUUUCCUCUUGUUUAUGACAUUAAAUUUCCCUCAGCCUCUACCCUCAUGCUGCCUGCUUCUCUAAGGCUGCUCCCAGGGAACAAGUUAAUAAUCUCAAAUACAGUAAUUUUUGCCCCUUUCAGAGGUAAGAGUUUAACAGGGGACAAAGGACGAAUUUUCCAUCAUGGCAUUUCAAACAUCAGUAAAAUGUUGAUUAUUUUUCAGCACUCUUGAUAUUAUAUCUGAGUAGCUCUUGUAGAAAUUAAUGCAAGCUGUGUUUUCACUGCAAUGUGCCCUUACUGUAUUCACAUGCAGCGAGAGGUUAUGCUGAUGGAACUUGGCCAUGAUUUGUGAUAUUGUUUAUUUACAUGUAUUAAUAUAAAAU
rnacentral:lncRNA from 1 species